UUUCCCUAGUGUGCAGCCGCUGGUGGCGCACCAGGUUGGAGCUCUGGCUGAAGGCGUGACCACAUUCGCCACACUUGAAGGGCUUCUCACCAUUGUGUAUGCGCAAGUGCUCUGUGAAGUGUGAGCUCUGGCUGAAGGCCUGGCCGCACUGGCCCCACUCAUAAGGCUUCUCGCCUGUGUGGAUGCGGAGGUUCAGCACGAAGCCCCACCAGCUCCCGAAGCCCUUGCGGCACUCGCGGCAGGCGUAGGGCUUCUCCCGUGUGGAUGCGCUGGCGCUGUAGUAGAAGAGAGUUGUACUUGAAGCUCUUAUCACAGGCCUCACAGCGGUAUGCCUUGAUGCCCUGUGGGUCCCUCUGCUGUCAGUCUCUACCCAAACUACUGCCUACUUCAGCAGUCUUCUUGGCGCUACCCUCUGUCCCUGGGGCUCCCUGGGGCAAGAAUGCCAUGUGCCAAGUGUCUCUUUUCUGAGAGCAGGGCAUGGCUCCUGGAGGCAAGCCUACUGGCUGCUCCAAGGUACAUUCCUGGCCAACGCUGUCUCCACACUUAAGACAUGCCGGGAAGGCUCUUCAGGAGGCCCCUCAGUGCCCUUCCAUCUGAGGCCAGCCCAUCUCCACGACUGCAGGAGCUGAGAGAGGCUGGAGUUUUCUCACACUCCCACUCAGUCUGAAAAGACUGAGUAGUUCCCAGUCUCACCCCUACUGUGGCACUCUGGGAGCUGAGCCCAGGGAAAGCCUGAAUGGGGCACUAUUCAGAGGGGUGGAGAGGCUGGGUGUGUGUGUGUGUGCCAGGAGUGCCAGGAGCAGCCAGGUCCCUGUCCUGUAGGAGCCUCAGUGGUGGUUAACUAGUCCUGUGAUACCUCUCUUAGCUGGGAAAAGGAAGUACAGGUUGCUAUUAAGAGCUAGCAAGGACCUGGAGCUUUGAGAACUCUCGAAGGUGGUCCUUCAGGCUGAGAUGGCUGCGAAGAUACUCAUUUUACCCCACGAGAGUCAGGUGGCAAGAAUGCCUAAGGCCUGCCCUGCCAAAGAGAUCAGGUUUGGAUGGGACGAGGUCUCAUUCACAGCUCCGUAGGGACCGGCAAUGGCCUGGGUCACAGUCACAGUCAACCCCCCCCCCCCCCCCGCCCACCCAGCGUCUAUGAGUAGACAAAAAACGGUAGCUAGGCUUGAAGCUAGGCCCAAGCCGAGACCCAGGAAGGAUGGCCUGGCCCUUAGCACAUCCAGAGAAGUGCUGUAUUGCAUCCAGCUGGGGGCUCCCAAGGCUGCCUGAGGCCUACAGACUGCUCACUCACCAAGCCAGGUGUCUCUGGUGAUCUUCACUUCCUCUAUGUCUUGGAGGUCUGGGUCUGCUGUCUGGGAAGGCACCUCAGAGCUGGAACAGGGAGAGCCUGGAGGGAGGGACUGAGGCUCAUGCCCUACUCUCCGGAGGGCAGCAUCCUGCCUUUCCCUCCUUCCCGAACGUAAGACUCCAAGGCUCUGGGGUGAAGACCCUGACACACAGUACAUUCCUCACCCGUGCAGCAUCCCCUUAUGCCCCCAAAGAUGGAUGAGGUGUCUUGCUCAUCAAGUAAACCCUCCCGAGGUCCUGGCUUUAGGAACUCAUUCUCCUUCAAUUCUGUAAGGCAAGCACAAGCCCGGCUGCCCAGACAGCUCUUGUGCCUGCCCCAUGCUUGCUGAUGCCCUGGCUGACUGUGGUCUUGCCUCCUUUCCACCCAUCCUUACUCUUUGCACUCAGCCCUGCGGCUGCCCCUUGGCCCCAUCUUUUCAAUUCUUAGCAUCACAAGCCAGACCCAGCUCUUGAUCUGUGCCUGUAAGGGCAGAGAGACCCUAGAAGGACCAUAUAGCACAUACAGCCGAGACUGGCCUCCUGCUCGUAGGUUAGCCAGAGUGGACCGGGCUGUGGUUUGGAGCCUUUCUUGUAGGCCCCUGGCAUAGGGACCCUUGGGUGCCCUUUCCUUAUGCUUUCUUCACCUCUGCUACUCCCAAAGGAGCCUGAAAUGACCGUGUAAAAGGUUUGCUUUGCAGGUUGCUGGGACCUAGAUAUUCUGCAUGGGCCCAUUUGGGAGCCCAAGGUUCCAAGAAGUCCUGGAAGAACUGCAGGCGGGUUUCAGAACACUGGGGUCUUCUCUGGUAAAGAAUGUGCGGGAUGAGCCCAAAUGGUGUGACACACGGUAAUCCCAGAGACUCAGGGGGCUAAGGCAGGGAGACGGUGCUUUGAGGCCCUAUCCCCCCAAAACC
rnacentral:lncRNA from 1 species